GUAGGUGGCAAGCGUUGUCCGGAAUUAUUGGGCGUAAAGCGCGCGCAGGCGGUUCUUUAAGUCUGAUGUGAAAGCCCACGGGCUCAACCGUGGAGGGUCAUUGGAAACUGGAGAACUUGAGCACGGAAGAGGAAAGCGGAAUUCCACGUGUAGCGGUGAAAUGCGUAGAGAUGUGGAGGAACACCAGUGGCGAAGGCGGCUUUCUGGUCUGUAACUGACGCUGAGGCGCGAAAGCGUGGGGAGCAAACAGGAUUAGAUACCCUGGUAGUCCACGCCGUAAACGAUGAGUGCUAAGUGUUAGGGGGUUUCCGCCCCUUAGUGCUGCAGCUAACGCAUUAAGCACUCCGCCUGGGGAGUACGGCCGCAAGGCUG
rnacentral:rRNA from 1 species